ACUCCCUUUGUUAUUCUCCUUUGUAUUAAGUACUUUACCUGGUUCUGGUUCUGGUACUCCUCCUGUUAUUCUGUUCCAGGUGCUGGUACUCCCCUGUCAUUCAGUACCAGCAGAUAUUGAGAGGUACCAAUAUUCUGAAGAGAAAAGCAAAGAUGUGCUCGUACUUUGUACCGAAUGCCAAGGAAAUGCUUGCAAAGAACAUAUCCAAACCUAUUUGAGAGCCCAGUGAGAAAAACAACAGCUGACCACCAAAGAGACACAGCAUUAUCCAUGAAUCAUCUGCUGCAAUUGACCUGGAAACACCCUGAGAUCGACCAACAUGUUGGCCACCCCUGGCAUACAGACUAUAUUAUACCAGGGAAGAAACGGCGGUCCUCACAAGACUACUGGCCCACUGGGAAAAUACCAGAACUUUCUGAUGGCCAGUCCGCACCUGGAUUUCGAACUGAUUUGCUUUUCAUUAAUUCAGCCAGACACAAAUGGGCUCCUAAACAAGCAAAUCUGUAUUUCUUAAAAUUGAUAAUGAA